rnacentral:tRNA from 1 species
UACUUAUAAGUGUUAAAAAUUUGCACAAAAAAUUUUGAAUUUUUUAGUUUUAAUUUAUUUUAAAAUAUGUAA